rnacentral:rRNA from 1 species
UACGGAGAGUGCAAGCGUUGUUCGGAAUUAUUGGGCGUAAAGCGCGUGUAGGCGGCUCGACAAGUCUGGCGUGAAAGCUCAGGGCUCAACCCUGAAAGUGCGCUGGAAACUGUCAAGCUUGAGUACUGGAGGGGGAAGUGGAAUUCUCGAGUGUAGAGGUGAAAUUCGUAGAUAUUCGGAAGAACAUCAGUGGCGAAGGCGACUGCCUGGACAGAUACUGACGCUGAGACGCGAAAGCGUGGGGAGCAAACAGG